CCAGAGAACUUAGCAGAGAUGCUUUGGUGCCUUCGGGAACUCUGAGACAGGUGCUGCAUGGCUGUCGUCAGCUCGUGUUGUGAAAUGUUGGGUUAAGUCCCGCAACGAGCGCAACCCUUAUCCUUUGUUGCCAGCGGUUCGGCCGGGAACUCAAAGGAGACUGCCGGUGAUAAACCGGAGGAAGGUGGGGAUGACGUCAAGUCAUCAUGGCCCUUACGGCCAAGGCUACACACGUGCUACAAUGGCGCAUACAAAGAGAAGCGACCUCGCGAGAGCAAGCGGACCUCAUAAAGUGCGUCGUAGUCCGGAUUGGAGUCUGCAACUCGACUCCAUGAAGUCGGAAUCGCUAGUAAUCGUAGAUCAGAAUGCUACGGUGAAUACGUUCCCGGGCCUUGUACACACCGCCCGUCACACCAUGGGAGUGGGUUGCAAAAGAAGUAGGUAGCUUAACCUUCGGGAGGGCGCUUGCCACUUUGUGAUUCAUGACUGGGGUGAAGUCGUAACAAGGUAGGCGUAGCGAG
rnacentral:rRNA from 1 species